rnacentral:rRNA from 1 species
AACGAACGCUGGCGGCAGGCCUAACACAUGCAAGUCGAACGAGAAGCAUCCUUCGGGAUGUGGAAGUGGCGCACGGGUGAGUAACACGUGGGAAAUUGCCCUAGAGUGGGGAACAACCAUUGGAAACGAUGGCUAAUACCGCAUAAUCCCUUCGGGGGAAAGCUUUAUGCGCUCUAGGAUGUGCCCGCGCUGGAUUAGCUUGUUGGUGAGGUAAAAGCUCACCAAGGCUCCGAUCCAUAGCUGGUUUGAGAGGAUGAUCAGCCACACUGGGACUGAGACACGGCCCAG